CCUACGGGUGGCAGCAGUCGAGAAUCAUUCACAAUGGGGGAAACCCUGAUGGUGCGACGCCGCGUGGGGGAAUGAAGGUCUUCGGAUUGUAAACCCCUGUCAUGUGGGCGCAAAUUAAAAAGAUAGUACCACAAGAGGAAGAGACGGCAAACUCUGUGCCAGCAGCCGCGGUAAUACAGAGGUCUCAAGCGUUGUUCGGAAUCACUGGGCGUAAGGCGUGCGUAGGCUGUUUCGUAAGUCGUGUGUAAAAGGCGCGGGCUCAACCCGCAGACGGCACAUGAUACUGCGAGACUAGAGUAAUGGAGGGGGAACCGGAAUUCUCGGUGUAGCAGUGAAAUGCGUAGAUAUCGAGAGGAACACUCGUGGCGAAGGCGGGUUCCUGGACAUUAACUGACGCUGAGGCACGAAGGCCAGGGGAGCGAAAGGGAUUAGAUACCCUUGUAUC
rnacentral:rRNA from 1 species